AUUGAACGCUGGCGGCAGGCCUAACACAUGCAAGUCGAACGAGUGGCGGACGGGUGAGUAAUGUCUGGGAAACUGCCUGAUGGAGGGGGAUAACUACUGGAAACGGUAGCUAAUACCGCAUACCAUGAGAUGUGGCCAGAUGGGUUUAGCUAGGUGGUGGGGUAACUGCUCACAAAGGCGACGAUCCCGAGUUGGUGUGAGAGGAUGACCAUCAACACUGGACCUGAGACACGGUCCAGACUCCUACGGGAGGCAGCAGUUGGGAAUAUUGCACAAUGGGCGCAAGCCUGAUGCAGCCAUGCCGCGUGUAUGAAGAAGGCCUUCGGGUUGUAAAGUACUUUCAGCGUGGAGGCGUUACCCGCAGAAGAAGCACCGGCUAACUCCGUGCCAGCAGCCGCGGUAAUAC
rnacentral:rRNA from 1 species